rnacentral:lncRNA from 1 species
UCAGAGGAAGGUCUCAGACUUGCUCCCGAUGACAGUUCAUUAUGGUUGAUUCAAACUAAAACAAAGCCAAAUGGAAAU